rnacentral:lncRNA from 10 species
CAGCUUUAUGUUUAAAAAAGGAGUUAUUGUGUUUUAUAAACAUGAGCAAGAUAACAGAUAGAAUAUGUAAUGUGUACAUCAUGCACAAAGAAGAGAAAGAGUAACAUUACUUUGAAAAAGUUAGGGGAGUAAAGUUGGGGAAGCAUUGAGAAGGAAGAAGUGCUCUGAGCAAUGAGAUGGGCAUGUUUGGGCAACAGUGAGUUUUCCAGUGUGGCUAGAGCAUCCAAAAUGUGGGGAGGAUGUAAUGAGAGGGAAUCAGGAAGGAAGGUGGCUAUCAGGUUAUGUCUUGAUAACAUUCUGUAGGCAGCUGGAAACUGAUCUUUGUUUUGGAAAGAUAAUGUUGGUGACUCUGUGAAGGAUAUUAGAGGAGGCAAGAAGACCAUUGAUGAGGUUCCUGCAAUAGGUCAUUUGAGAGGGCCAAGUAGUGACAAUGAGAAAGAGAAGACAGAAACAAGAGCUGCUGACAUGGAGAGCUGACAGCACUUGGUGAUGAACUGGGUAUCUGUGGUGAGGGGAGGGAGAACCUGAAGACAUCUGCAAGGCAAGCUGGGGGCGCCCUUUUCUAUGAGAGGAAAGUUGGAGGAUAGGGUAGAGCUUUAAGCUUUGAACCAGCUGAAUGUGAGUUUUUGGCAGGACCGCCACAUGAUGCUGCUGGAGAGACAGCGGGAAAAGCAGAGCCGGAGCUCAGGUAGUUUGGCCUUUAAGAGCACACCUAUUCCAACU